rnacentral:rRNA from 1 species
CCUACGGGCGGCAGCAGUGGGGGAUAUUGCACAAUGGGGGAAACCUGAUGCAGCGACGCCGCGUGUGGGAAGACGGUCCUCUGGAUUGUAAACCACUGUCCCCAGGGACGAAAAUGACGGUACCUGGGGAGGAAGCUCCGGCUAACUACGUGCCAGCAGCCGCGGUAAUACGUAGGGGGCGAGCGUUGUCCGGAAUCACUGGGCGUAAAGGGCGCGUAGGCGGUAAUAUAAGUCAGAUGUGAAAGGUGGGGGCUCAACCCCUAGAGUGCAACUGAUACUGUAUAACUUGAGUGUGAGAGAGGGAAGCGGAAUUCCUAGUGUAGCGGUGAAAUGCGUAGAUAUUAGGAGGAACACCAGUGGCGAAGGCGGCUUUCUGGCUCAUAACUGACGCUGAGGCGCGGAAGGGUGGGGAGCAAACAGGAUUAGAUACCCUGGUAGUC